AUUGAACGCUGGCGGCAGGCCUAACACAUGCAAGUCGAACGGUAACAGGGAUCAGCUUGCUGAUUCGCUGACGAGUGGCGGACGGGUGAGUAAUGUCUGGGAAACUGCCUGAUGGAGGGGGAUAACUACUGGAAACGGUAGCUAAUACCGCAUAACGUCGCAAGACCAAAGAGGGGGACCUUCGGGCCUCUUGCCAUCGGAUGUGCCCAGAUGGGAUUAGCUAGUAGGUGGGGUAACGGCUCACCUAGGCGACGAUCCCUAGCUGGUCUGAGAGGAUGACCAGCCACACUGGAACGGAGACACGGUCCAGACUCCUACGGGAGGCAGCAGUGGGGAAUAUUGCACAAUGGGCGCAAGCCUGAUGCAGCCAUGCCGCGUGUAUGAAGAAGGCCUUCGGGUUGUAAAGUACUUUCAGCGGGGAGGAAGGGAGUAAAGUUAAUACCUUUGCUCAUUGACGUUACCCGCAGAAGAAGCACCGGCUAACUCCGUG
rnacentral:rRNA from 1 species